GUGCUUGCUUUGGCAGAACAUAUACUAAAAUUGGAAUGAGACAGAGAAGAUUAGUAUGGCCCCUGCCCAAGGAUGACACGCAAACCCCUAUUUUAAGCAUAAAAAAUUU